rnacentral:rRNA from 1 species
UACGUAGGGUGCAAGCGUUGUCCGGAUUUAUUGGGCGUAAAGAGCGUGUAGGCGGCCAUACAGGUCAGCUGUGAAAACUCGAGGCUCAACCUCGAGACGUCGGUUGAAACCGUAUGGCUAGAGUCCGGAAGAGGAGAGUGGAAUUCCCGGUGUAGCGGUGAAAUGCGCAGAUAUCGGGAAGAACACCCGUGGCGAAGGCGGCUCUCUGGGACGGUACUGACGCUGAGACGCGAAAAGCG